CCUUCGGUGGAGGUGGAGAGGUAGUUACUUCGCCAUUACGGGGCGGUGGUCGCAGGUUCGAAUCCUGCCGGGGGCG
rnacentral:tRNA from 1 species